rnacentral:rRNA from 1 species
ACGCCUUAUACAUGCAAGUCGAACGAAGUAGCAAUACUUAGUGGCAGACGGGUGAGUAACAUGUGGGUAUCUUCCCUUUGGUGAGGAAUAACACGAGGAAACUUGUGCUAAUACCUCAUAAGUCUUUACGGAGAAAGCUUUAUGCGCCAAUGGAUGAGCCCGCACUUGAUUAGUUUGUUGGUGGGGUAAUGGCCUACCAAGACUUUGAUCAAUAGCUGAUUUGAGAGGAUGAUCAGCCACAUUGGGACUGAGACACGGCCCAAACUCCUACGGGAGGCAGCAGUAAGGAAUCUUGCACAAUGGAGGAAACUCUGAUGCAGCGAUGCCGCGUGAGUGAAGAAGGCCUUUGGGUUGUAAAGCUCUUUCGUCGGGGAAGAAAAUGACUGUACCCGAAUAAGAAGGUCCGGCUAACUUCGUGCCAGCAGCCGCGGUAAUACGAAGGGACCUAGCGUAGUUCGGAAUUACUGGGCUUAAAGAGUUCGUAGGUGGUUAAAAAAGUUGGUGGUGAAAUCCCAGAGCUUAACUCUGGAACUGCCAUCAAAACUUUUUAGCUAGAGUAUGAUAGAGGAAAGCAGAAUUUCUAGUGUAGAGGUGAAAUUCGUAGAUAUUAGAAAGAAUACCAAUUGCGAAGGCAGCUUUCUGGAUCAUUACUGACACUGAGGAACGAAAGCAUGGGUAGCGAAGAGGAUUAGAUACCCUCGUAGUCCAUGCUGUAAACGAUGUGUGUUAGACGUUGGAAAUUUAUUUUCAGUGUCGCAGCGAAAGCGAUAAACACACCGCCUGGGGAGUACG